UUUCCUACGGGACGCAGCAGUGGGGGAUAUUGCACAAUGGGGGGAACCCUGAUGCAGCGACGCCGCGUGGGCGAUGGAGUGCUUCGGCAUGUAAAGCCCUAUCAGCAGGGAAGAAAAUGACGGUACCUGACUAAGAAGCCCCGGCUAAAUACGUGCCAGCAGCCGCGGUAAUACGUAGGGAGCAAGCGUUGUCCGGAAUUACUGGGUGUAAAGGGAGCGUAGGCGGGAGGAUAAGUUGAAUGUGAAAUCCAUGGGCUCAACCCAUGGCUGCGUUCAAAACUGUUCUUCUUGAGUGAAGUAGAGGC
rnacentral:rRNA from 1 species